rnacentral:rRNA from 1 species
UACAGAGGGGGCAAGCGUUAUUCGGAAUUAUUGGGCGUAAAGCGUGCGCAGGCGGUUGUGUAAGACAGAUGUGAAAUCCCCGGGCUCAACCUGGGAACUGCAUUUGUGACUGCACAGCUGGAGUGCGGCAGAGGGGGGAUGGAAUUCCCGCGUGUAGCAGUGAAAUGCGUAGAUAUGCGGAGGAACACCGAUGGCGAAGGCAAUCCCCCUGGACCUGUACUGACGCUCA